rnacentral:lncRNA from 10 species
CCAGAUAAAGGCUAUUAAAAAACAAUCAAAGUGUGAAGAGGGCAGAAAAUGUGAUGAAGAGAUUCUUUGGAGAAAGUAGCUGCCACUGUUACCUUGGGAUCUGCCUAUAGUCCUCACAGAGCUUGCCCUUGCAGGAUAGAACAUAGGAGUCUGGGAGUCUGCAAGAAGAGACAGGGUCUCACUAUGUUGCCCCAGUUGGCCUUGAACUGCUGGACUCAAGGGAUCCUCCUGCCUCAGCAUCCUGAGUAGCUGGGUCUACAGGCAUGAACCACCAGGCCCAGAACCCUGUGUGAGUGUUCCUUCUUCCCCUCUCUUCAUGUUCACAGCAUAUCUUAUUAUUGUUAAUAUUGGAAGUCAA